rnacentral:rRNA from 1 species
AACGUAGGGGGCGAGCGUUGUCCGGAAUCAUUGGGCGUAAAGCGCGUGUAGGCGGCCCGGUAAGUCCGCUGUGAAAGUCCAGGGCUCAACCCUGGGAUGCCGGUGGAUACUGUCGGGCUCGAGUCCGGAAGAGGCGAGUGGAAUUCCUGGUGUAGCGGUGAAAUGCGCAGAUAUCAGGAGGAACACCAAUGGCGAAGGCAGCUCGCUGGGCCGUAACUGACGCUGAGGCGCGAAAGCGUGGGGAGCAAACAGG